rnacentral:rRNA from 1 species
UACGGGGGGGCAAGCGUUGUUCGGAAUUACUGGGCGUAAAGGGCUCGUAGGUGGCCAACUAAGUCAGACGUGAAAUCCCCAGGCUUAACCUGGGAACUGCGUGUGAUACUGGAUGGCUUGAAUUCGGGAGAGGGAUGCAGAAUUCCAGGUGUAGCGGUGAAAUGCGUAGAUAUCUGGAGGAAUACCGGUGGCGAAGGCGGCAUCCUGGACCGGUACUGACGCUGAGGAGCGAAAGCGUGGGGAGCAAACAGGG